UCCAGACUCCUACGGGAGGCAGCAGUGGGGAAUAUUGCACAAUGGGGGAAACCCUGAUGCAGCGACGCCGCGUGGGUGACGAAGUAUUUCGGUAUGUAAAGCCCUAUCAGCAGGGAAGAAGAUGACAGUACCUGACUAAGAAGCCCCGGCUAACUACGUGCCAGCAGCCGCGGUAAUACGUAGGGGGCAAGCGUUAUCCGGAUUUACUGGGUGUAAAGGGAGCGUAGGUGGCAUGGCAAGCCAGAAGUGAAAGCCCGGGGCUUAACCCCGCGGAUUGCUUUUGGAACUGUCAGGCUGGAGUGCAGGAGGGGCAGGCGGAAUUCCUGGUGUAGCGGUGAAAUGCGUAGAUAUCAGGAGGAACACCGGUGGCGAAGGCGGCCUGCUGGACUGUAACUGACACUGAGGCUCGAAAGCGUGGGGAGCAAACAGGCUUAGAUACCCCAGUAA
rnacentral:rRNA from 1 species